rnacentral:rRNA from 1 species
UACGUAGGUGGCAAGCGUUGUCCGGAAUUAUUGGGCGUAAAGCGCGCGCAGGCGGUCCUUUAAGUCUGAUGUGAAAGCCCACGGCUCAACCGUGGAGGGUCAUUGGAAACUGGAGGACUUGAGUGCAGAAGAGGAGAGUGGAAUUCCACGUGUAGCGGUGAAAUGCGUAGAGAUGUGGAGGAACACCAGUGGCGAAGGCGACUCUCUGGUCUGUAACUGACGCUGAGGCGCGAAGGCGUGGGGAGCAAACAGG